rnacentral:rRNA from 1 species
UACACUCCUGCGGGAGGCAGCAGUGGGGAAUUUUGGACAAUGGGCGAAAGCCUGAUCCAGCAAUGCCGCGUGUGUGAAGAAGGCCUUCGGGUUGUAAAGCACUUUUGUCCGGAAAGAAAUCCUUGGCUCUAAUACAGUCGGGGGAUGACGGUACCGGAAGAAUAAGCACCGGCUAACUACGUGCCAGCAGCCGCGGUAAUACGUAGGGUGCGAGCGUUAAUCGGAAUUACUGGGCGUAAAGCGUGCGCAGGCGGUUUGCUAAGACCGAUGUGAAAUCCCCGGGCUCAACCUGGGAACUGCAUUGGUGACUGGCAGGCGAGAGUAUGGCAGAGGGGGGUAGAAUUCCACGUGUAGCAGUGAAAUGCGUAGAGAUGUGGAGGAAUACCGAUGGCGAAGGCAGCCCCCUGGGCCAAUACUGACGCUCAUGCACGAAAGCGUGGGGAGCAAACAGGAUUAGAUACCCGGGUAGUCCCAUG